UGACUGUCAGGCCACCUUAAGCCACAGUACGGAAGAAGCUGUGCUGCCUGUGAGCCCCGUCCAAGGACGUUAAAAGAAGAAGUCAGGCCCCAAAGCCACGGUUUGAGCAAACCGUGCUGCCUGUAGCUCCGUCAUGGGGACGUAAAACCUGGGAGGCUGCAAACUGUGGAAGCUGUACGCACAGUGUAGCAGACUAGUGGUUAGAGGAGACCCCUCCCAUGACACAACGCAGCAGCGGGGCCCGAGCACUGAGGGAAGCUGUACCUCCUUGCAAAGGACUAGAGGUUAGAGGAGACCCCCCGCAAACAAAAACAGCAUAUUGACGCUGGGAGAG
rnacentral:lncRNA from 1 species